rnacentral:rRNA from 1 species
ACGGGUGAGUAACACGUGGGCAACCUGCCUGUAAGACUGGGAUAACUACCGGAAACGGUAGCUAAUACCGGAUAGCUGGUUUUCUCGCAUGAGAGAAUCAUGAAAGACGGAGCAAUCUGUCACUUAUGGAUGGGCCUGCGGCGCAUUAGCUAGUUGGUGAGGUAAUGGCUCACCAAGGCGACGAUGCGUAGCCGACCUGAGAGGGUGAACGGCCACACUGGGACUGAGACACGGCCCAGACUCCUACGGGAGGCAGCAGUAGGGAAUCUUCCGCAAUGGACGAAAGUCUGACGGAGCAACGCCGCGUGAGUGAUGAAGGUUUUCGGAUCGUAAAGCUCUGUUGCCAGGGAAGAACGUCUUAGAGAGUAACUGCUCUAAGAGUGACGGUACCUGAGAAGAAAGCCCCGGCUAACUACGUGCCAGCAGCCGCGGUAAUACGUAGGGGGCAAGCGUUGUCCGGAAUUAUUGGGCGUAAAGCGCGCGCAGGCGGCUAUGUAAGUCUGGUGUAUAACCUCGGGGCUCAACCCCGGGUCGCACUGGAAACUGUGUAGCUUGAGUACAGAAGAGGAGAGUGGAAU